rnacentral:lncRNA from 1 species
UAGGAAGUUCACAAGCAGAGUGCUUGUGUUGUUUCUGGCACGGAGUUACCGGCCGUGGGCGUCCCUUCGCAGUGCCAUUCACCUCCAGCAGCCACAGCCAACCCCACUGCUCCCAUUAAGGGUGGCUCAGUCAGUUCCCGGCACAGCAAAGCUUGGGCUGUGGGUCAGGGCCACGAGCAAGGUGCAGCCGGAGCCAGAACGAAGCUGAUCGGUGUGGGUUGGAGUGCUGGAGGCAGCUGCUGCUGAGCAUUCAAACUAAAAACUCAGUGACCGGCGAUCCCCACACGCUUCCUGAAAUCAAGAGCUGAUCUCCUUAAUGAGCAACGCAUGGCUGUCACACCUCGUGCAUGUCGCUGCUCAGAGCCCUGAAGCACAACCUCCUGAAGCCCUGGGCGGUCACCCCACGUCUCUGCGCCUCUUUGAGUUCCAGUCCGUGUGAUUGAGGAGUUGCUGUACGAUCAGGUAAGCUUGCAGACACAGCUGGUUUUAUAACGUUCCCCAUAGUGCCCACAAAAGCAGAGCCCAGCAGCAGCCCCCACGGGGAGUUUGGGCCAUACAACCCGAGCUGUGUGGGUUUGUCCUACUAAAAGAUGUUGUAAUACGUAUGGAUAACUUGAAGCAAAGAAUACGUUCCAUAGCAACUGCAGUGUUUGUAGUAGCAAUAGCACAUGGGAAUGCCUCAGCACUGCAUUUCAGUGAUUGUAUGGACAUGCUGCAAGGAAAACUGUAGUAAUGAAGCACUGCCUGGAAAAAAAUAGAUGCAAAGCCAAAUUUUUACAACUAGUGUGAGCAACUUAUAAAUGAAACCCACUGAGAAUCAAAGGGAAAGAGCUUGUCAAGCACGGCUAGCCCAAGCAGCAUGGGUUAAGCCACGUCUUGUCAGGUUGUAUGGCGUAUGCCCUUUCUGUAUGCCCAGAAGGAGAAGCAAGGAGAUAUCUUUGUGCUGUAUCCCAGGUCUUGUUCCCUGAGCUCCAGCACUCCUACCCGCUGCACAGAGCAGCGAGACCAACGCAAACCCCAGAGUAAGAGAUCUGCAAAGGGUGGAGUUUGCGGUAGAAUAAUCUGGAAAACAUCUCUAAUUUUUAUAGAUAUAAAGCUCUGUGGAUUUUUAGUUUUGUGUAACCCGUAGAAACUAAUACAAAUGUAAAGAACGUUUUAAUCGACAUCUUUUAGCAUAAGUAAUACUCGAGAAAUAUAACAAAAUACGAAGUAUUGAGUUACUUCCCAGAGUCCCAUUGUUUUUAUUCCGCGUACAAAGAAAUGUAUGAGCCCUGAAGCAGUUUGAGAGGUAAAGGUUAAAUAAUGGGUAUGUAUUCAGCAUUUUAAAACUAAGAAACUGUGGAGCUCUGCAGUCCCUUGUACACAAAGAGCUUGUCAGCACGAGUUGGUGAGAGUGGUGGGAGAUCAGUGCUGGCAGCCCAGAGGAGACGAGCAGGAAGGGUUCGAGCUGAAAAGCAUAAAGAAGAAGGGAGUUAAUCGUGGUCUGUAAAACCAACGUUACUUCUAUUUGUUCCUUUGGCAUCGCAAUACCACUCCAAAACAGAGGCCAACUGUUAACAGAGGCAAAGCCAACUUCAUCCUUUGCAGGCUGACGAAUGGUCAUUCUGGAGAGCAGAAUAAUGAAAUUCAGACAACGGUGACCAAAUGUUGCUCCGUGGAACUUUCCUUUUACAAAACAGAUGAAUGCUCCUGGGCUCCAAAACACUGCAGGGAACAAAACUUUCAAACCUUAUGGAAAUAAAAUAGUAAGCCUAUGCAGUGACUUCAUCUCCUUUAUCAGAUCAGAGACGUUUUCUCUGGAAUUGAAAUGGAUUAGAAAAAACCCUCUAAGUAGAGGAAAAGAAUUAAAAUAUCCCACUGAAGCCAUUACUGAAAUACUGCUUUAUUUCAAAAAACACACCCACACGGGUGAACACUGAAUUUCACAGAGAAGAAAAACUGCCACAUCAUCAUCGUUCACAGACCUCGUGUUGCAGAUAGAAGUGUGCUAUGGUCAGGCAGGAAAAUAAAUAUCGCAGUGUUUGUGAUCAAAGGGAGAGAUAAGGCCGUGUGCUGCGUGUUCUGAUCCUGACGGAGGGCUGUAGAAAAUGACCACAGAUAAGCGGCUGAUGUGAGGGCUGGGAUUUUUGCCUCUGGGAUCCCCUGGAAACCCGAACAAGUCGGACCAUCCAGCACCUCGCCAGAUGAGGCCCUGUAUUUAUGUAAUGAGAAAUACCCACUGCGCUGCAGAUUUGUUGCUAGUGUGAGUGAGAUUGCGUUCACUUAAGCCCAUUGCAAAUGUAGCCACUAGAGUCAAAAUAAAAGGAGCCAAAAUAUAUAAAUCCAGCAGACAGAGUUUAUAGGGGAACUAAACCAAACAUUCAACAUGGAGAUUUAGUGCAGCCGAACUGGUGUAACUAAACAGGGUACCUUACAUCAUUCUGUGUCCUACGGGCACGGUCCCCGUUUUAGUGGCGUGCUGCGCUCACGCUGAUAUCAAUAAAAGUCUAACAUGCAAAAUGAGUGGAAUAUACGAGAUGUCAGAUGGUGCGGGACGAGCCCAUAAAGCCCAUACCUAAAAUCCACUGUCACGCUUUUGGCAACCCCCAGCCAACUUCCAUGCAAAUUCCACCCCUGGAUCCUUAACUGAUUUUGCCUUAAUUGAAAGCCUUAAAGGUGAAUUGAAAUGUUGUUGGAAUAAAAACCUGUUUAAGAUGCCAAAUCCCUAACAAAAUCCCAGUGCAGACUUACAAGUAAAUAAAUUGUAAAGGCAAACGUGCAGGCCUUCUUAUUAACCUGUCAAACCACGAAUUCUGGAAUCUGUUCUUCUCUUGCAAAAUUUGUGACAUUCUUCUCCCCCUAAUGACUGGAGUAUUUUACUGCUUUGCGGGCCCGGCAACAAUGAUGACAUUGUUUAGGAAGGUGGUGAAAUCUCCCUUGCUCAUGGUGAUGACUGGGGGACCGCUUCCCCAUUAAUUUAUGUGGAGAAUUGGGAGGUACAGACCAGAUGCCAUGGCCCUUUCUUGGCAGUGCUGCUCACUACACGUUGGGCUGGGGCUGCCCAUGAGGUUGUCUGAUACGGUGUGAAGUCAUGGAUGGAAGCAGCUGAGUGUGAGGAUAGUUCAGCUUUCCAAACUAUUGCUUUAAUGACCUCCUCCCUGAAUUUGAUUUUUGAGGACUAGGUUAAGUGAUUCCUCUUGCAAAAAGCAAGCAAACUCUGUAAGAGAAAUUGUGGGCCCUUUGACUGUAAGGGCCAUCACCUGACAUAUUUUGCACAAGUAUAACCUGCUCGUGCCCAAACUAAACUCAAUCCAUGACCUUAUUUUGGAGAUUCACUUCUCGGGGUAAUGAGGAAAUCAGAGUUGAAACAAUUGCAACGCUUCCCUACCGAAAGAUCCCUACAAAGCUCAGCAUCUGCAGUGUAAAUCACCAGCUGUGGGACUUGGAAGCAUCACUGCUGCAUGCUGCUCCUGUUGCCUGUCCUGUUCUGCACCUCGUCUGGUUGUUGAAUUAAUGCUUUGGAAGCACAUUGGAUACCGAAUCUGAUGAAACGCCGGGUGUCAGCGUGCAGUUAUGAACAUGAAACUACUACAACAACAAAAAUAAUGCAUUAUAAGCAUUAUAAUCCCUAUGUUUGCAUGUGUUAUUAAGUAGUCUCUGGUGUUUGCGUCCCAUUCUAUCACCCUUGUCCUUCCGGAAGGGUAACAUUACAUGUUACGCAGCUAUGUAAUUCAAGAAUAUAAAGAACAGAGUCCUGCUAUAUAUAUAAAAUUCCAAUGUAGUACACAUACGAAAGGCAAAGAAUUGUGGUCUGUUUCAGGCUUUUGCCUUUAUCUUUUCCAUUGCCUCCUGCCAAUUUUCAAAGUACUCCCAGAUCACAGACCGAACUAGAUUAUCCGAACAAGAACUCGGCCUCCCGGUCCUCCCUGCUACCACUCCCCAGGGAUACAGCCUGCCCUCUGACCCCCGGCAAUGCUCCCUCCCACUGCUACCUAUCACUGCCCGAUCCUUUGCUUUCCUCUUCAGGCAAAGGCAUUUCAGCCUGAGAAGGAAGCAGAGCUGUGCACACUGGCACCAGCACACCUACUCCUUGGCUUGCUUGGCCCCAAAAUGAAGGGAGACCCUGGAGGGUCUGUGCAUCCCUCCUCCUACAGACACAGUGAAAUAUGUCAUCAUUUGUACUGCACUCACUUUGGAAAACUCAGCUAGGAAAUGAAGGAUGUGCUCAGUGAGACAAUGUCGGCACUGCUGUCAGACAGAAUUCCCACCCUAAAGAAUUGUCAGCGGAAGCAAAGAUAUUUGUUAGUCUCCAGUACUCAAGAAGUACCACCAAUGGCUGUUUUCUACACCAUGGCAGCAUUAAAAGAUCAGUGGUGAACUCAGAUUUAAAUGGGGACUUCCCAUGGGUGCAUGGAUUUUCGGAAUCUGCAGGGCCUGGCCUUGUCUUCAGCUUCCACUCUGGAAUCCUCACUGGGCUCUGAUUCUAGUUACAUCUCAAGUGGGCAGAGGAUGAUUGCUAUGGCCUCGGUGGUUGAAAUGAGAAAGAUCUGGAAUAGAUUAAUGGGAGUGUGAGAGAUGGAAAGGAAAACAAGGACUUUCUCAUAAUGUGACACAAUACUUAAGAACACACACUGUCGAGUCUCUCUUAGCUUGCUGUACUUCUGACACUAUUCUCUUACAAUAUUUUGCUUAUCAUCCUCUUGUUAAGUUUAUUGUACUUACAAAUCAUUCCCAGACAGCCAGCUUCUUAGAUAUCUUUUCAUUAAAAAAAAAAAAAAGAAAAGAAUAAAAGAAUAAAAAGGUUUUGUGUGUAAUACAUUUCCCCUGCAGGAACUGAUUCCUCAGCACUGCUGACUACAAGCCUCUCCUUGUUUUAAAACACACAGCCAUGCAUCUGGCAGCGGGCUCUUCUCCCCACA